rnacentral:rRNA from 1 species
CCUACGGGCGGCAGCAGUAGGGAAUCUUCCGCAAUGGACGCAAGUCUGACGGAGCAACGCCGCGUGAGUGAAGAAGGAUUUCGGUUCGUAAAACUCUGUUGUUAGAGAAGAACAGCGCAUAGAGUAACUGUUAUGCGUGUGACGGUAUCUAACCAGAAAGCCACGGCUAACUACGUGCCAGCAGCCGCGGUAAUACGUAGGUGGCAAGCGUUGUCCGGAUUUAUUGGGCGUAAAGCGAGCGCAGGCGGUCAAUUAAGUCUGAUGUGAAAGCCCCCGGCUCAACCGGGGAGGGUCAUUGGAAACUGGUUGACUUGAGUGCAGAAGAGGAGAGUGGAAUUCCAUGUGUAGCGGUGAAAUGCGUAGAUAUAUGGAGGAACACCAGUGGCGAAGGCGACUCUCUGGUCUGUAACUGACGCUGAGGCUCGAAAGCGUGGGUAGCAAACAGGAUUAGAUACCCUUGUAGUC